AAUCAAUACCAUACCAUGUUGAAAGCACCGGUUCUCGUCCGAUCACUGCAGGUAAGCAACGUUGGGCCCGGUCAGUACUUGUAUACCUCUAAAUGCCUUGAUAC
rfam:Schistosoma haematobium scaffold66_25, whole genome shotgun sequence.